AUGCCUCUGAUUCCCAGCUUCAAAGAAAUCUGUAGCUGCCUCGGCCUAUUGGCGCUCAGCCAAAUACAUUUCACCCCCACAUUCAUGGAUAAUCCCCAUUAUCCUUGGAUAGAGAAUUGCAGACUUAAUAAUAAUUGUUUUCUGGUAAAUUUGCUUGAAUUUUUCUUUGUACUGAUAUGUGUCGAUCGUGUAAUGAAGAUUGGCGUGGUAUGGUAG